UUUAGUAGUGUAUACAGUUGGUCCAUGUAAUGUUCCAAGUGGUGCAUCAAUCUCUCACAUACAUUGCUGCUGAAAGGAUCAUUCCUGGUCUCUUGCAGUGGAUCAUGGCGAACCUGGUGAAGCAUCAGGAUGUGCAGCGAAGCUGGUGGAAGAGAUUGAUUGGGUUGUGGGGGAUGGAUGAGAAAACAUUGAAGAGGAUGAUUUGUAGUGGAUGUCAUAUCUGAAGGCAGUGAUCAUUCUAGAAAAGAGCAAGGAAUUGUUGGAUUAUAGAAGCCUGGAAAUGAAAUGUUGAAUUGAAAUUGGAAAUUGGAAUUGAAGUUGAAAUGUGUACUAGAAAAGAAAGAAAAAAUUAUUGUGUGAAUCA